GAUGAAGAACGCAGCGAAAUGCGAUAAGUAAUGUGAAUUGCAGAUUUCCAGUGAAUCAUCGAAUCUUUGAACGCACAUUGCACUCCUUGGUAUUCCGAGGAGUAUGCCUGUUUCAGUAUCAUGAGCACUCUCACAUCUAACCUUUGGGUUAAAAUGUGGAAUUGGGAUGCGCCGGUUAUUAUAACGGCCCUCCUAAAAUUCAGUUCUUGGCUGCUUCCUACUACAGCAGUUUGGCCUAAUAGUUUUGAGUCUUCGAUUCAAAUCUUUGGCUAACAUUUGCUUCAGGAUGUCAGUCUUGAUAUACAGAAAUCUCAUUCAAACUUUGAUCUGAAAUCAGGUAGGGCUACCCGCUGAACUUAAGCAUAUCAAUAAGCGGAGGA
rnacentral:misc_RNA from 1 species